rnacentral:lncRNA from 1 species
AUGUGUGUGCGCGCACACACACACACACACACACACACACCCAGCUCUCAAGUCCUUGUAGGACCAUGUCCACCCCAUCCACCCCCCAAGCCUCUUCUCCACCCAGGCCUAGUUCCACAGGCCCUCCCCUCCCCCAUUUCCUGGGGUGUCCCCAGAGGCCCCUCCUACCCAAGGAUGGAUCUGAAGGUCGGUUCUGGAAAGGAACCUGGGGAAACAACUUCAGGAGGAGACGGAUGUCCGAGCCCGAGCUACCAUGGUGAGGUCCUGCCGGAGAGACCCCCGUGGAGAUGAGCCUGAAGCCACCUUAGGACCUUCAAGCCCUAACUGACCUCCAGCUGACUGCAGCCACGAGCGACCCCAGCUACAUGGGAGCAGAAGAAACAGCUGAGCUCAGCCAACGCACGGACCUGUGGGAAAUAAUAAAGCAUUGUGUUUUUUUUAAUGUUUUGAGAGA